rnacentral:rRNA from 1 species
AACGAACGCUGGCGGCAGGCCUAACACAUGCAAGUCGAACGCUGUAGCAAUACAGAGUGGCAGACGGGUGAGUAACACGUGGGAAUCUUCCUAUCGGUACGGAAUAGCUCAGGGAAACUUGAGGUAAUACCGCAUACGCCCUUCGGGGGAAAGAUUUAUCGCCGAUAGAUGAGCCCGCGUCUGAUUAGCUAGUUGGUGAGGUAAUGGCUCACCAAGGCGACGAUCAGUAGCUGGUCUGAGAGGAUGACCAGCCACACUGGGACUGAGACACGGCCCAGACUCCUACGGGAGGCAGCAGUGGGGAAUAUUGGACAAUGGGCGCAAGCCUGAUCCAGCCAUGCCGCGUGAGUGACGAAGGUCUUCGGAUUGUAAAGCUCUUUUGCCAGGGACGAUAAUGACGGUACCUGGAGAAUAAGCCCCGGCUAACUUCGUGCCAGCAGCCGCCGCAGUAA